rnacentral:rRNA from 1 species
CCCUUAGAUGUUCUGGGCCGCACGCGCGCUACACUGUUCGACGCAGCGAGUCUUAACCUUGACCGAAAGGUUUGGGUAAUCUUCAGCAAAGUCGAACGUGAUGGGGAUCGAUCAUUGCAAUUAUUGAUCGUGAACGAGGAAUUCCUAGUAAGUGCAAGUCAUCAGCUUGCGCUGAUUACGUCCCUGCCCUUUGUACACACCGCCCGUCGCUACUACCGAUUGAAUGGUUUAGUGAGAUCUCUGGAUUGACGCUGGCUAGGGGGCGACCCUUGGCCAGACUGCUCGAGAAACUGCGCAAACUUGAUCAUUUAGAGGAAGUAAAAGUCGUAACA